AGGAAGGAAGGAAGGAAGGAACAACUAGCUGAAAGAAUGCCAGAGCUUUAGACAUGGUUAACUGUGACAGUAAAUAAAGCAGCACAGAGUGUGGUAGGCAGACAAAUGGCCGCCCCAAGAUGGCCACUUUCUAAUCUCCGGAACCUGUGAAUAUGUUGCCUUAUGUGGCAAAAGGGACUGCGCAGAUGUGGAAAAGUUAGGGAUCACCAGGUGAGGAGCUUAUCUGGGAUGAUCCAAAUGGAUCCAAUGUCAUGCCCAGGGUCCUGGUAAAUAAGGAGGGAGGCAGGAGAGUCAGGGAAGGAGACGCGAGGGCGGAAGCGGAAGGCGGAGGGAUGCGAGGGCUGGCGUCGAUACUGGAGGGACAUCGGCAGCCCCUAGAGGCCUGAAACGGCCAGGAAGCAGAAAGCAGCCCUGUCGACGCUUGAUUUCAGCCUCCUGAGACCCGUUUCAGGCUUCUGACCUCCAGAACGUCUGCCAUCAGAUGAGGUUUGCACUAGAAUGUCAAUCAACUAUUUCACUAAGCACAUCGUUUAGUUCCUGACUUUUUUUCAGACCAAGACUUCUUGAUGAAAAGAGUUUGUAUAAGAUUUUGCAUAAGCAAGGAGUCCAUUUGGUUUGGAAGUAGUUGACCCAUCCUAGUAGCAGGAGUGGGCACAGAAUCCAGGCUGCCUCAUCUGAUCAUCUUCUGACCUUGAUUGGUGCAAGCGAUGGGAAGGUAGCCCAGCCAGGCUGAUGAAGUGCAAGCCACAGACUUUUACUGGAUGUAUUGGGAGGCACACAUUUUCUUUGGUACUGGAAAAUGGAAGAGGAAAGUGUAAUGAGAUUGCCAGAUAUUGUUAAUUUUUGAAGCUAUGUGAAGGGACACUUGGGGUUCAUUACCCAACUUUUCCGUUUGUUUGAAAAUUUUGUAAUAAAGAAAAUUUUAAUACGCACACAAAAA